ensembl:snRNA U7 U7 small nuclear RNA
AAGUGUUACAGCUCUUGUAGAAUUUAACUAGCAGGUUUUCCAGUUCUCACCUAAAACUCCCCA